rnacentral:rRNA from 1 species
UACGUAGGGGGCAAGCGUUGUCCGGAAUCAUUGGGCGUAAAGCGCGUGUAGGCGGCUCGAUAAGUCUGCUGUGAAAGCCCGGGGCUCAACCCCGGGAGGCGGAUGGAUACUGCAAGGCUCGAGUCCGGAAGAGGCGAGUGGAAUUCCCGGUGCAGCGGUGAAAUGCGCAGAUAUCGGGAGGAACACCAAUGGCGAAGGCAGCUCGCUGGGACGGUACUGACGCUGAGACGCGAAAGCGUGGGGAGCAAACAGGG